rnacentral:tRNA from 1 species
AAUAAAAUGCCUGAGUAAAGGAUUACUUUGAUAGAGUAAAUCAUGCAAGAAAAUUGCUUUUAUUA